rfam:Bacillus niacini strain DSM 2923, whole genome shotgun sequence.
UUAAAUAAAACAUUUGUACUGAAGACAGCAGGUGCUCUUUAGAGCUUAAUUUCCUGCCGAGGUAAUGCGAUAGAAUUGGCUGAAAUCUUCGGCUAUUGUAUGCACCUCCAUGUCUGACUCUUGAUAUGGAGGUUUUACUUUGCCUGG